GCCCCUUUUAUAAUGAGUCAGGCGUACCUGGCUAUCACCAGGUACCUGUGGGUAGAGCCUAGAACAAAUACUAACAACUGCUCCAGUUGUGUAGAAUCCACAUGAAGACCAAGCUGCAUAUCUGCUACAUAUGUGCAGGGAGGCCCAGGUCCAGCCCUGUAUGUUCUUCGGUUGGUGGUUCAGACUCUGAGGGCCCCAAGGGUCCAGGUAAACCCAGCAACACAGCACAAGAGAGAUAAUAAUAGCAACUAAUUAUCAAUUUCCUGCGAUGGAUGCUUAAAGAGCAAUUACAUAAGAGCAACCCAUAAAAGUCCUCAGAGGAUAGCGUUCCUGGGCAAAGGCAGAACAGCCUGGACUGGAGGCUUAGAAGAGACACCUGAAGGAAACCAUCAUCCCAGCCACAAGGAUUUCAGCCCUGACCAUCAUAGGUCUGCUAAACUUUGGACAGCUUCUGGCAAUAGAGCAUUAGAGAUGCCAGAUAAGACCAAGAUCAGCAGCUCAGGUCUCCACAGCGGAAUCCCCAAAUGCCCUUUGGCUAAUGAAAACUAGCCAAUGGCCAUUGGGUUUUAAGCUACUUCUUUGUGGAGUGGCAAGUUAACAAAGUGAUACCUAGUACUAAAUACCUCUUUGGGAGGCAA